rnacentral:rRNA from 1 species
UACGUAGGGACCAAGCGUUGUUCGGAUUUACUGGGCGUAAAGGGCGCGUAGGCGGCUUAACAAGUCACUUGUGAAAUCUCCGGGCUUAACUCGGAACGGCCAAGUGAAACUGUCAAGCUAGAGUGCAGAAGGGGCAAUCGGAAUUCUUGGUGUAGCGGUGAAAUGCGUAGAUAUCAAGAGGAACACCUGAGGUGAAGACGGGUUGCUGGGCUGACACUGACGCUGAGGCGCGAAAGCGUGGGGAGCGAACCGG